AGAACGAACGCUGGCGGCAUGCCUAACACAUGCAAGUCGAACGCUCAUCCGGCUUCGGCCGGAUGGGAGUGGCGCACGGGUGAGUAGCGCGUGGGAACCUGCCCUGUUGUGGGGGAUAACCGAGGGAAACUUCGGCUAAUACCGCAUGCGCCCCGGCGAAAGCCGGGGGAAAGAUUUAUCGCAGCAGGAGGGGCCCGCGUCGGAUUAGGUAGUUGGUGGGGUAACGGCCCACCAAGCCGAUGAUCCGUAGCUGGUCUGAGAGGAUGAUCAGCCACACUGGGACUGAGACACGGCCCAGACUCCUACGGGAGGCAGCAGUGGGGAAUAUUGGACAAUGGGGGCAACCCUGAUCCAGCAAUGCCGCGUGAGUGAUGAAGGCCUUAGGGUUGUAAAGCUCUUUCGCCCGCGACGAUGAUGACGGUAGCGGGAGAAGAAGCCCGGCUAACUCGUGCCAGCAGCCGC
rnacentral:rRNA from 1 species